CGGGUUGUAAAUCUCUGUCGGGUGGAAAAAACGUCUUUAUGGAUAAUAUUCAUAGGGAGUGAUGGUACCACCAAAGGAAGAGGCGGCUAACUCUGUGC
rnacentral:rRNA from 1 species